rnacentral:rRNA from 1 species
UACGUAGGGUGCAAGCGUUAAUCGGAAUUACUGGGCGUAAAGCGUGCGCAGGCGGUUGUGUAAGACAGGAUGUGAAAUCCCCGGGCUCAACCUGGGAACUGGCAUUUGUGACUGCACAGCUGGAGUGCGGGCAGAGGGGGAUGGAAUUCCGCGUGUAGCAGUGAAAUGCGUAGAUAUGCGGAGGAACACCGAUGGCGAAGGCAAUCCCCUGGGCCUGCACUGACCUCAUGCACGAAAAGCGUGGGGAGCAAACAGGG